UAAAGUGUAACCUGCCUCUACUUUCUCAUCUGUCUGCGUAGCGCUGUCUGUUGAGACGUAAUGUUUACCGCCGAGAAUGCAUAGAUUUGAUUGGCUGAGUGGUAUCACGUGGGAUGGCUUAACUCGCAUGCAAUUGGUCUGUGCGUUUCCGCAUCCGCUAAACCACUACCGUAAAGACUGCAAAAGCUGCGCCGCGCCGCCGGGUAAAAAAAUUAAAACACCCCGUCAGGUUUUAAAUCAUAACCUUCUGUUUUGGCUGGUGGUCCGGGUCCGGAUGGGACGGCCUCUGGGUCCGGACCCGGACCGCGGUCCGCCAGUUAGUGACCUGUGGUAUAAACCAAGCAGAUUAGUGCUAAUAAAGAAAUACAAACAUGGGAGGAGCUUCCACACCCCCAGCCCGCCCACUGAGGUGAACUGCCCCAGAGCCGUCUCCAGGAAGAAGAGAGGAGUCCCAGCAAACACAAGGGUCAAAAAGUACGGGAUCAGAAAGGCCCCUGAUGGAUCAUCACAAAAUAAGGAAACCUCCAGACAUUUCCCAGGCCAAUGGCAUAUCCCACGCAUGACAGAAGGAAAUCAAACCUUCCCUUCCAGCUGCCCCUGUC